GUACACACCGCCCGUCCAAGCCAUGGGAGCCGGGGGUGCUUGAAGUGCGUCGCCGCAAGGCGCGCCCUAGAGCAAAACCGGUGACUGGGGCUAAGUCGUAACAAGGUACC
rnacentral:rRNA from 1 species